UUUAUUAUUUAUACGUUUAUAAUCAUUAAUCGAUACAAAUUAAAAAACAUUUUGUAAUUUUGUGUAAUAACAGUGUUAUGUGAAUUCAGAAUUAGUAAUACCAUAGAACAAUACCUAAAUUCGGUUAAAUUCAAUUUUAAGCGGGAAAGCAGAUUUAUAUUUAAUAAGCAGACAUGAGUCCUAAAUAGUUAUGUUGGCUUCAAUUCACUCCAUAGGCGUGAUCAUGUUGAAAUGUACGAGGUUAUUGCAUAUAUACCCCCCCUCAAUCAAAUAUCCGAUGAUAAAAACAAAAAUGGCAGCGUAAAGGGAGCCAAUAAUAAUCAAUUUUUAUGCGAGCGUAUUUUUCAUGAUAAGAAAAAUUGAUAUUUGUAAUUUGUGAUAUCCCUUUACGCAGCCAUUUUGUUUCAGAUGAUAACAAUCCGAGUCAAUAUGCAAUAACCAGCUGUAUAUUUCAAUCAUGGGCGUGAUGUGCUGUAACUCCAUCCAUUGUAUAAUAGAAUAUGAUCUAAGUAUUUAAAUAUGUAAUUAGAACAUAUAAGAUCUUCAUUCCCGAGACUCGAGAGCCUAUUGAUAGGAGAUAGUGAAGUGAUAGACCCUGUUUUGAGUGAUACCAGAGUUGCGCGAAUUUUUUAACUAAUGGGCUACCCACUCAGAUAACUUUAAUGGCGAUAGCUAAGAUACUGGCUUAAGAAUCUUAGAUAAUUAUCGGAAGGUAAAGAAUUAACAGAGGAGAAAGCUUCUAAAAUAUACCAGUGCACUGCGCUGAAAAAAGAAAGGUAAGGAGACAGAUUGGUGACUGUCUGUACAUGCAGUUCAGGAAAAAAAUCAGCAUAACCCGCCCCUGGUGGCGAGACAAAUCCUCCUGUGAAGACAAGGGGGGUCGACUUCAUAUUGUCCCCAAAAAAUUACCUAAAUAUACCGUUUGUUGUACAUGGGGACAUUGAACGUAAUUCGAUUGAGGUGUAUCUAAGGAAGCAUUGAAGCAAUAGUGUGUUUCACAAAUUAGAGACUCGACUGUUGCGCGACGGCCUAUAAUCAGUAUGGUUACUCAAAAUGUCUGCUAAAAAGCGUGCGUAAAUUGAACUGCCGCAUACAGCGCUCACUAAUUUCAAACCAACCGCGCUUUUGCAAGGUUUAAACGACAUUGAAAUCCAAAUUUUUGACCACCAGUCGCGCUACAGUCGAGUCUCUAAUUUCGUGUAGCACACUAUAGGUGCUACCAUCACUGGAGGUGUUUGGGACUUGGGUAAAGGCAUCAUGAGAGAUAUCAUAUGGAAGAAAUUCGUGAACAUUGUAUUCAUGUGUAAGAACCACGAAGAGUAAUGGAGUGAAUUUAUAGGUAGGUAUAUAAUUUCCAUUUAGUGUUAACAGAGUUGAAGUAUGGAUGAAUAUUUCAAUAUAAAUUGCACAAUUAGGCAACGAUAUAUAAUGAUAAGUGGAGAAAAGUAGAGAUUUCCACAUACGAAACAAGGUUGGGGUAGAUUUAAACGCCCCAAGGGCCAAGACUGGUGUGUAGAAAGCUUGCCUAUCUAAAUUGUGUAUUUUGUAACAAUUAAUUAUUAAGCUGUUUGUUGUUAGUUUUUCAUGGUAAUUGAAACCAACUAUUAGUCAGUUUUUUGGAGUAAAAUAUAACUAUUAGUCGGUUAUUCAAAUCAUUCGGUAGUGCCCAUCACUAAUUUUUGUUUUAGAAUCAAAAAACAAUAUCCAUACCUAUUUGACUUAAGCUCGAUUGACUGUAGACAUGCGUUAAGGACGAAGGGUGGGAAUCCCACCAGAUUCCGAGUAGACAUUAACAAAUUAGCACAUUUGCACAUUUGUAGGUAACAGAGGAUAUGUGAUAUAAUAUAUAAAUGAGCUUUUUAUCGUUCAUUGCUAUCCAAAAUUAAGCCCAAAUACGUAGCAUCUGGCACCAUUAUGGUAGAAUAAAUUCUUGUUUUCAGACUGCUUUAAAAAAACCACAACAUUGCAUUAAUUAUGAGUAGCUAAGACCCUGGGUACCUACCUACUAUAUAGUAAAUGAAAGUUACUUACAUUAUCCUCAAAUAUCAACAGUGAGUGAUGAAGAAGAUUCGACUCAUGUCAUGGUUGAUAUCUUUGUGGACGUAACGAAAGAUCGAACAUACAUUUCCACAACAGUCAACGCCGAUGAUCCUAUGCAUGAGACAACUAAACCAUCUAACAUGUGAUUUAUGACUUAAUGGAUUUCUUUUGCAAUUCAAUUUUUUCUAUUAGUAAAUAUACCAUAUUUUUAAGUAUGAUCUAUUAUACAUAUUGUAGGUUUUAAUUUUUAAAUACAUUUUCAUGUAUGUGCACUUUGAAUAUUAUUAUACUCCUUUCGCGGAGACCAGGACCGUCUCGCGUAUACGACUGAUGGAAAUGCGGGAGCUCCAUCAAAUAACCCCUCUUUACAAAUAAAACUAUUUUUUAUACAUAGUGAGUUCAAAUAUACGUUCGUGUCAGCCGUUAUAAUAAUAUGUAUGCAAUAUGCAUGUGUGGCAUGUCCCGAAUUCUGAGCAGCUGGUGGUCGGCUGGUGGAGCGUAGCUGUUACGAGUAAAAGUAGUGGGGAUCGACGAGUUUUCGUCCGCCACGCAGUCCUGACUCCUGGUCUCUCGGCGAACAGAGUAUAGGUCUACAUCUAGACCGUAGGUUAACUUGGGCAACUCACACCCACAACAAAAGACUUGCCUUGAAUAAUCCAACUACGUUAUCUUCCACAUCACAACACAUCAACUUAAAAAACAAGCUACUAUUAUACAAACUCCUACUCAAACUGAUCUGGACAUACAGUAUCUAACCCUGGGGUGCAGCCAAAAAGUCCAAGUUAAACAAAAUCCAAGUCUUCCAAUCAAAAUGUCUCCGCCAAAUAAUCAAAGCCACCUACUAUGUAUCUAACAACACUCUACAUAGAGAUCUAGCCAUUCCAACAGUCCAAAACGUGACAAAAACUUUCUCCAAGCACAUACACUCCAAGCUCCACAGCCAUCGUAAUCUCCUGAUUUCCGAGCUAUCUACCAACUCUAUUCCUGGUGACCCCAGAAGGCGUCUUAAACGUACCUGGUGUCGUAACCUUCUUAAAUAAAAUUGUAUAUAUCUCUACCCCCCCUUAAUUUUGUAUUCAAUCUCACUCUCUCUUGCUAGCACAGUAAAAUAAACUCCUAACCUUAAGUGCCUCCAAUGGGCGGCUUCUUAUCUCCUGCCACUCAAGUCAUGUCACCUCCAUCACAUACACUUAUUGUAUAAUAAUAUUUACAGAUUGUGUAUUUUAAUAGUAAAUGAUAAAAAAAAAUAAAUAAAUAAAAUAUUUGAUUUUAACAGUUUUUAAUAUUUAA